rnacentral:rRNA from 1 species
GACGAACGCUGGCGGCGUGCUUAACACAUGCAAGUCGAGCGGUAAGGCCUCUUCGGAGGUACACGAGCGGCGAACGGGUGAGUAACACGUGAGCAACCUACCCAUCACAUCGGGAUAACCCCCGGAAACGGGAGCUAAUACCGAAUACGACCACUUCAGACAUCUGACGGUGGUGGAAAGCUCCGGCGGUGGUGGAUGGGCUCGCGGCCUAUCAGCUUGUUGGUGGGGUAACGGCCUACCAAGGCUUCGACGGGUAGCCGGCCUGAGAGGGUGACCGGCCACACUGGGACUGGGACACGGCCCAGACUCCUACGGGAGGCAGCAGUGGGGAAUAUUGGACAAUGGGCGAAAGCCUGAUCCAGCAACGCCGCGUGAGGGAUGACGGCCUUCGGGUUGUAAACCUCUUUCAGCAGGGACGAAGCGAAAGUGACGGUACCUGCAGAAGAAGCACCGGCCAACUACGUGCCAGCAGCCGCCGUAAAAC